rnacentral:rRNA from 1 species
UGGCGAACGGGUGAGUAACGCGUGAGGAACCUGCCUCAAAGAGGGGGACAACAGUUGGAAACGACUGCUAAUACCGCAUAAGCCCACGGCUCGGCAUCGAGCAGAGGGAAAAGGAACAAUCCGCUUUGAGAUGGCCUCGCGUCCGAUUAGCUAGUUGGUGGGGUAACGGCCCACCAAGGCGACGAUCGGUAGCCGGACUGAGAGGUUGAACGGCCACAUUGGGACUGAGACACGGCCCAG